rnacentral:rRNA from 1 species
CAGAGAAGAGCCCAGCGCUAAAUCAUUUGGUAGUUCUGAUCAUUUUGAAAUGUAGCGUAUAGAUGCAAUUGUCUUAUAGUUAUGUGCACUCAAAGUUCUCUUGAGAGGGGCUACAGUCCAAAGAAGGUUAUAGACCUGUACGGGUGACAAAAUAUUAAGUUGAUUGCUUCUUGGAGUCGGGUUGCCUGAGAUUGCAGCCCAAAGUGGGUGGUAGACCUCAUCUAAGGCUAAAUAUGGCCACGAGACCGAUAGCAAACAAGUACCGUGAGGGAAAGUUGAAAAGAACUAUGAGAAUAGAGUUAAAGGAGGACGUGAAACCGCUGGGAUGGAAACGAAUAGAGUUGACGAAACGUAUUGUCAUUCAGCCAAUUAACUUUGCGGCUUUUUGUUUUUGUACCGCACAAUUUUUUGCUGGACAGGAAUAAAAAAUGCUGUUAAGUAGCAAGUGUGGCCUGUGUAAUUGGUGCAUUUGAUGAUAGUACGCGCCGAGUGUUGCGUUGGUGUGCGAAAAAGCGUAUGUAGUAGCCCGUUCAAUUUUUGUGCGAAGCUUGCAUGCGUAAAAGCGUAUUGUCAAUGCAGUAGAUUUGCACACUUUCUCCGUUUAUGGUGCGUUACUGUUCGCAGAAAUUGAUGUAUCUAUGAUGCAAUCGCUUGCGUAUUGCUUGUAGUUUAUGUUAAUUAUGUGUGGCAGGUAAGCGCGUAAAAGUUGCAUCUCGGUGUGAACGUUAAUCUCCUAUCCGACCCGUCUUGAAACACGGACCAAGGAGUCUAGCAUAUGCGCAAGUCAUUUGGUGGUAAACCAUAAAACGUAAUGAAAGUAAACGUCGUCUUGAUACGGCUAAUAUGUGAGCUGUGNGUUGGGUGAUAUGCGCACAGUGCACCAUAGCCCGGUUCUCAUUUCUUGCAAUGGGGCGGAGGUAGAGCGCAUACGCUGGGACCCGAAAGAUGGUGAACUAUGCCUGAGCAGGAUGAAGCCAGAGGAAACUCUGGUGGA